rnacentral:rRNA from 1 species
UGGGGAAUAUUGGACAAUGGGGGAAACCCUGAUCCAGCCAUGCCGCGUGCGUGAAGAAGGCCUCAGGGUUGUAAAGCGCUUUCGGCGGGGAAGAUGAUGACGGUACCCGCAGAAGAAGCCCCGGCUAACUCCGUGCCAGCAGCCGCGGUGAUACGGAGGGGGCAAGCGUUGUUCGGAAUUACUGGGCGUAAAGGGCGCGUAGGCGGGCGACUAAGUCAGAGGUGAAAGGCCUGGGCUCAACCUGGGAACUGCCUUUGAAACUAGUUGUCUAGAGUCCGGAAGAGGAUGGCGGAAUUCCCAGUGUAGAGGUGAAAUUCGUAGAUAUUGGGAAGAACACCAGUGGCGAAGGCGGCCAUCUGGUCCGGUACUGACGCUGAGGCGCGAAAGCGUGGGGAGCAAACAGGAUUAGAUACCCUGGUAGUCCACGCCGUAAACGAUGUGUGCUAGCCGUUGGGAAACCUAGUUUCUCGGUGGCGCAGCUAACGCGAUAAGCACACCGCCUGGGGAGUACAGUCGCAAGAUUA